rnacentral:rRNA from 1 species
CUUUUAUGGAGAGUUUGAUCCUGGCUCAGGACGAACGCUGGCGGCGUGCCUAAUACAUGCAAGUCGAGCGGACCAAA